UACAGAGGUCUCAAGCGUUGUUCGGAAUCACUGGGCGUAAAGGGUGCGUAGGCUGCUUGGUAAGUCAGAGGUGAAAUCCCGGAGCUCAACUUCGGAAUUGCGUCCGAUACUGCCGUGCUUGAGGACUGGAGAGGAGAUUGGAAUUCACAGUGGAGCAGUGAAAUGCGUAGAUAUUGUGAGGAACACUAGUGGCGAAGGCGAAUCUCUGGGCAGUGCCUGACGCUGAGGCACGAAGGCCAGGGGAGCAAACGGG
rnacentral:rRNA from 1 species